rnacentral:rRNA from 1 species
AUUGAACGCUGGCGGCCAGCCUAACCCAUGCAAGUCGGGCGCGCGGCGGACGUGUGAGUAAUGUAUGGGGAUCUGCCUGGUGGCUGGGGAUAACUACUGGAACCGGUAGCUAAUACCCCAUACCAUCUGGAGAACCCCUAUUGGAUUAGCUAGUCGGUAAGGUAACGGAGUAUCUAGGCGACGAUCCCUAGCUGGGCUGAGAGGAUGAUCAGCCACACUGGGAAUGAGACACGGUGCAGACUCCUACGGGAGGCAGCAGUGGGGAAUAUUGCGAAAGGGGGGAAAGUCUGAUGCAGCCAUGCCGCGUGUAUGAAGAAGGCCUGCGGGUUGUAAAGAAAUGUCAGUCGGGAGGCGUUACAGACAGAAGAAGCACCGGCUAACUCCGUGCCAGCAGCCGCGGUAAUUC